UCUUCAGUCUAGCCCGCGACUGGGAAACCCCCACGGCCCAAGCUGCAGGCCAGGACUGGCCUGACCUGACCUGCGUCCGCUACCCAGAGGAGUUGCCGGACCUGCCCUGCGCCUGCUACCCGGAGGAGUUGCCAGGCCUGCUGCUCGCCCACUACCCCGAGGAACCUGUGGUGCUGGACCCCCCAGAGGACAACACCCAGACCCAGGAUUUACAUGAAAAAUGAAACAGCAGCUACUGGAGGAAAAUGUAACACAAUCAAAGCUUUCAUUUGGAGAAACGAGACAAAUGAUGGCUUUCCCAGUUGGAGAAUAACAGGAUACAUGAAAGAAACCAGAACAAAGGGCAGUGACUGCAAGGGGUGUGAGCGAUUGCUGGACCCAGACUAAAAGGAGAUGAGUCUGUAAAAGGGAGCAUUCUGGAACUGUGGGCAGCAUUUAAAAAAUGUAAUGAGUUAGCUCAUGCAUACAAUGGAGACUCAAGGCAAAGAAAGAAAGGGUCAUGUUGACAAUUACCGUUACUGUAUUUAUCCUACAACACUGAGGAGAGAGAGAGCUAGUUAGAACAGGU